UAGCCAUUUACUUCUCCUCUUCUUGCUUUUGAUGGUUAAAGAUUAGUAGAAGUAGAGAGGAUGAGAAGAAAAGAUGGCAAGUACAUCUCCAAUCCUGGCUCGCCCAGCUAGGAGGAGUAAGUCCUAGCCAUGUGCACAUGUUUUCUGUAGUAGCGCUACCCCCCGACUACGGUUGAAGAUCCGGCUACGGCUGUUGAUAUUCUGUUAUGUUCUAUUCUGACUUCACAGUAGAAGAUCCAUCCUCGUGCUGUUGAUU